UACGUAGGGUGCGAGCGUUGUCCGGAAUUAUUGGGCGUAAAGAGCUUGUAGGUGGUUUGUCGCGUCUGCUGUGAAAAUCCGAGGCUCAACCUCGGACUUGCAGUGGGUACGGGCAGACUAGAGUGUGGUAGGGGAGACUGGGAAUUCCUGGUGUAGCGGUGGAAUGCGCAGAGUAUCAGGAGGAACACCGAUGGCGAAGGCAGGUCUCUGGGCCAUUACUGACACUGAGAAGCGAAAGCAUGGGGGAGCGAACAGG
rnacentral:rRNA from 1 species